AUAUCAUAAAAAUAGCACUCAAAAACUAAAAUGACCAAAAUAGCAUUUUAUCUUUUGAAAAUUUUAAUUUUUUUAUUUUUCAAAAUUUGAAAUCUUAUCCCUAAAACCUCAUUUCUCAACUCUAAACCCUAAACCUUAAACUCUAAACACUAAACCCUAAACCCUAAACCCGAAACCCUAAACUCUAAACCCUAAAUCCUAAACUCUAAACCCUAAACCCUAAAUCCGAAACCCCACCCUUUAAUUCUAAACCCUAAGUUUGUGACUUUUGAUAAAACAUUAAGUGCUAUU
rnacentral:lncRNA from 1 species